AAGGUGGCGGCCAGAACAUGGCGGAACAGAUCCCUCUGUGCCCGGUGCGCAGCGCGGCGGCCGCGGCCAACUGCAAACGCGCGGCCUACUUCAGCGCGGCGGGGCCCGGGCCGGGGGCCGAGCGGUCCAGCAGGUACCAGCUGGAAGAUGAGUCUGCCCAUUUGGAUGAAAUGCCACUAAUGAUGUCUGAAGAAGGCUUUGAGAAUGACGAAAGUGAUUACCACAAAUUACCGCGAGCUAGGAUCAUGCGAAGAAAGAGAGGCCUAGAGUGGUUUGUCUGUGGAGGAUGGAAGUUCCUCUGUACCAGUUGCUGUGAUUGGCUGAUAAAUAUUUGUCAAAGAAAGAGAGAAUUGAAAGCUCGUACAGUGUGGCUUGGAUAUCCGGAAAAGUGUGAAGAAAAACAUCCCAGAAAUUCUAUAAAAAAUCAGAAAUACAAUGUAUUUACCUUUAUACCUGGGGUUUUAUAUGAACAAUUCAAGUUUUUCUUGAAUCUCUAUUUUCUGGUAGUAUCCUGCUCACAGUUUGUACCAGCAUUGAAAAUAGGCUAUCUCUACACCUACUGGGCUCCUCUGGGGUUUGUCUUGGCUGUUACUAUCAUGAGGGAAGCAAUUGAUGAAUUUCGGCGUUUUCAGCGAGACAAGGAAGUGAAUUCACAGCUAUACAGCAAGCUUACAGUAAGAGGUAAAGUGCAAGUUAAGAGUUCAGACAUACAAGUUGGAGACCUCAUCAUAGUGGAAAAGAAUCAAAGAAUUCCAUCGGACAUGGUAUUUCUUAGGACAUCAGAAAAAGCAGGUUCGUGUUUUAUUCGCACUGAUCAACUCGACGGUGAAACCGACUGGAAGCUGAAAGUGGCGGUGAGCUGCACGCAGAGGCUGCCGGCUCUGGGGGACCUUUUUUCUAUCAAUGCUUACGUUUAUGCUCAGAAGCCACAACUGGAUAUUCAUAGUUUUGAAGGCACAUUUACCAGGGAAGAUAGUGAUCCACCCAUUCACGAAAGUCUCAGCAUAGAAAAUACCUUGUGGGCAAGCACUGUUGUUGCAUCAGGUACUGUAAUAGGUGUUGUCAUUUAUACUGGAAAAGAGACUCGAAGUGUAAUGAACACAUCCAAUCCAAAAAAUAAGGUUGGUUUGCUGGACCUUGAGCUCAAUCAGCUGACCAAAGCGCUGUUUUUGGCGUUGGUUGCCCUCUCGGUUGUCAUGGUGACCUUGCAGGGAUUCUCAGGUCCCUGGUACCGCAGUCUCUUCCGCUUUCUCCUGCUCUUCUCCUACAUCAUUCCCAUAAGUUUGCGUGUGAACCUGGACAUGGGCAAAGCCGCCUACGGGUGGAUGAUUAUGAAAGAUGAGAAUAUUCCCGGCACAGUGGUCCGGACCAGCACCAUCCCGGAGGAGCUGGGGCGCCUGGUGUACCUGCUGACCGACAAGACAGGAACCCUCACCCGGAACGAGAUGGUAUUUAAGCGGCUGCAUCUGGGCACCGUGUCUUACGGGACGGACACGAUGGAUGAGAUCCAGAACCACCUCAUGAACUCCUACUCACAGAUGCAGUCCCAGGCCAGUGGAAACAACGCCAGUUCAACACCCCCAAGAAAAGCCCAGUCCUCAGCGCCCAAGGUCAGGAAAAGCGUGAGCAGCCGGGUCCACGAGGCCGUGAAGGCUGUCGCCCUGUGUCACAACGUGACCCCCGUGUACGAGGCCCGCGGCGCUGCCGGGGAGACCGAGUUCGCCGAUGCCGACCAGGAUUUCAGCGACGACAACCGCACCUACCAGGCCUCCAGCCCCGAUGAGGUGGCCCUGGUGCAGUGGACGGAGAGCGUCGGCCUCACUCUGGUCAACAGAGACCUCACGUCCAUGCAGCUGAGGACCCCCGGCGGCCAGAUCCUGACCUACUGCAUCCUGCAGACCUUCCCCUUCACCUCGGAGAGCAAGCGGAUGGGGGUCAUCGUCAGGGACGAGUCCACGGCAGAGAUCACGUUCUAUAUGAAAGGUGCUGACGUUGCCAUGUCCACCGUCGUCCAGUACAAUGACUGGCUGGAGGAGGAGUGCGGCAACAUGGCCCGCGAAGGCCUGCGCACCCUCGUGGUGGCCAAGAGGGCGCUGACGGAGGAGCAGUACCAGGACUUCGAGAACCGCUACAACCAGGCCAAGCUGAGCAUCCACGACAGGACGCUCAAGGUGGCCGCCGUGGUGGAGAGCCUGGAGCGGGAGAUGGAGCUGCUGUGCCUGACGGGGGUGGAGGACCAGCUGCAGGCGGACGUGAGGCCCACCCUGGAGAUGCUGCGCAACGCGGGCAUCAAGAUAUGGAUGCUGACGGGUGAUAAACUGGAGACGGCCACGUGCAUUGCCAAGAGUUCUCACCUGGUGUCUCGAACGCAGGACACGCACGUUUUCAGGCCGGUAACCAGUCGGGGAGAAGCCCAUUUGGAGCUGAAUGCCUUUCGAAGGAAGCAUGACUGUGCACUGGUCAUAUCCGGGGACUCCUUGGAGGUCUGCCUGAAGUACUACGAGCACGAGUUCGUGGAGCUGGCCUGCCAGUGCCCGGCCGUGGUCUGCUGCCGCUGCGCGCCCACGCAGAAGGCCCACAUCGUCAAGCUGCUGCAGCAGCACACGGGCAGACGCACGUGCGCCAUCGGUGACGGAGGGAACGACGUGAGCAUGAUCCAGGCAGCGGACUGCGGGAUCGGGAUCGAGGGGAAGCUGCCAACGUCCCGUGUUCAGGCAGCACCCUCGGAGACACGCAGGUCUGCUCUAGCUGAGGUGUCCCUCGCGUGAUGGCCACAGCUCCCAGGAGGCACCCCCGGGCCAUCACAGGUAUGCAUCCUCGCCAGGGAUUUCAGUGGGGAGCCUGAGGACGCACGUGAGAAGACUACCAGAUGCCAUCUUCACGGGGUACCAGGAGGGCACGUGACAUCUGAGGAAGAGUCCUGAGCUGCAGGCAGGGAGCGUGGGCGAGUGAUUGAGGAGGUGGGCUCGCAGCCCGUCACCGAGGGGCACCACGGAGCGACAGGAAACGCCCUGUCCUCCCAGCCCACGCGACUGGAAGACAGGCUGAGGUACAGGGGAAAGCUGUUUUCAGACCGUGGGCACCAGGCAGCAGGCACUGAUGCCGGAGACAAGGGAAGCUGGCAGGAUUCACAGCUGGGAAUCCCUGGAACCUUGAGAGGCAAAGAUUCCUUAGGCACAAAAUGCGUGAACUGUUACAGGAGAAAUUGACAAGAUGGACUUCAUCAAAAUUAAGUCUUCGCUCUUCUAAAGACAAUAUUAAUCAAAUGAAAGGGCGGGCUGGGAAACAGUCUUUUCAGUACGUAUAUCUGAUAAGAGCUCUGUACCCAGAAUGUUUCAUGAUCUCCAAACAACUCAGUUUUUUAAGAAAAGGCUAAAGAUUUGAACGUACAUCACAAAAGAAGAUGUAAGAGUAGCCAAUAAGCACAUGAAAAUAUAUUAACAUCAUUAGUUACAGGAAAUGGAAAUUUUAACCCCACUUGGAGGCCAAGUUAAGACAGACCGCGCUAAGUGUCAGCAGGAAGCUGGGGCUCCCGGGACUUACAGCUCCUGGCCGGAGUGCACAAUGGUGAAACGAGCCCAGAAGACAGUUGGCCGGUUUUUCAUACCAUUAAGCGUUCGGCCCAGCAGCCCUCCCCUCCGCAGCCUGCUCCUCCUUUAUUUGCGAAAACCUGUGCAGUAGAUAUUUAUAGCAGCUUUAUUUGUAAUAACCGGACACUGGGAACGACCCAGAUGCACUUCAGAGAAUGACCGGGGUGCAGAGCUGCUCUGUCCACAACCACGAACACUCCUCAGUAACCAGAGGACGGCCUGUCGUAUGGCCACACCUGGGUGACCCUCCAGGGACUGGGGCUGAACGAGAAGCUGAACCCCACG